rnacentral:misc_RNA from 1 species
GCAAACUUGGUCAUUUAGAGGAAGUAAAAGUCGUAACAAGGUUUCCGUAGGUGAACCUGCGGAAGGAUCAUUACAGUAUUCUUUUGCCAGCGCUUAAUUGCGCGGCGAAAAACCUUACACACAGUGUUUUUUGUUUUACAAACCAUUGCUUUGGCUUGGCUUAGAAAUAGGUUGGGCCAGAGGUUUCUACUAAACUUCAAUAUUUUAUUGAAUUGUUUUUAAAUAUAUUGUCAAUUUGUUGAUUAAAUUCAAAAAUCUUCAAAACUUUCAACAACGGAUCUCUUGGUUCUCGCAUCGAUGAAGAACGCAGC